rnacentral:rRNA from 1 species
AUGCACGCUGGCGGCGUGCCUAAUACAUGCAAGUCGCGCGAACAGACGAGGAGCUUGCUCCUCUGACGUUAGCGGCGGACGGGUGAGUAACACGUGGAUAACCUACCUAUAAGACUGGGAUAACUUCGGGAAACCGGAGCUAAUACCGGAUAAUAUAUUGAACCGCAUGGUUCAAUAGUGAAAGACGGUUUUGCUGUCACUUAUUGAUGGAUCCGCGCCGCAUUAGCUAGUUGGUAAGUUAACGGCUUACCAAGGCAACGAUGCGUAGUCGACCUGAGAGGGUGAUCGGCCACACUGGAACUGGGACACGGUCCAGACUCCUACGGGAGGCAGCAGUAGGGAAUCUUCCGCAAUGGGCGAAAGCCUGACGGAGCAACGCCGCGUGAGUGAUGAAGGUCUUCGGAUCGUAAAACUCUGUUAUUAGGGAAGAACAAAUGUGUAAGUAACUAUGCACGUCUUGACGGUACCUAAUCAGAAAGCCACGGCUAACUACGUG